UUAAAUGCAAAAUCCAACAUAAAGAUAGAUCUGUUUCGUCACACUUCGAUGAAAAGGUGUCGUCAGAUUAAUCGAAAGUCAGAAUUUAUUCUUUUUGAAUGAAUUUGCUGUUAGUAGUAGCUCUAUGAGAAAAUGUUUCAAGUCUCGAGUGGCUUUGAAAGCACAUCGAUGGUGCGACAUUCUCCUAGGGUUCUCUAGCAUUACACGCUAAAGAAUCCRAGUGCCAGUGAUGUGUGCCUGUUGAGAUUGAAAAAAAUCAAACAUGAAUAUCAAAGAGUGAUUCUACAAGCAAUGAAAUGUCAUUU
rnacentral:misc_RNA from 1 species